rnacentral:rRNA from 1 species
UACGUAGGGGGCAAGCGUUAUCCGGAAUUAUUGGGCGUAAAGAGCUCGUAGGCGGUCUGUCGCGUCGGAUGUGAAAAUCCAGGGCUCAACCCUGGACCUGCAUUCGAUACGGGCAGGCUGGAGUUCGGUAGGGGAGACUGGAAUUCCUGGUGUAGCGGUGAAAUGCGCAGAUAUCAGGAGGAACACCGGUGGCGAAGGCGGGUCUCUGGGCCGAUACUGACGCUGAGGAGCGAAAGCGUGGGGAGCGAACAGG